UCUAUUCAUAGGGUUCCCCCUUAACUAACCCCAGAGGUCUCUCGGACCGUGCCCGGACUCCAGAUCAAGGUUGCGGAACCUUGGACCGUUCCAUGAGCGAUACGCAUGACCAAAAGAGGCAUCCAUUCCGACUCAUUCCGCAGUUGCCCUGCUGGGCAAAGGGUGUGGUGGAGUGGACUCCCGCCCCAUCCCCACGCUACAUGCUCCCAGUGCAUGUCGUCUGUUGACACAUUUUGAGACGGAGGGCACUCAUCCCCUCUGAGAGCAGGCUCGGCGUUGACGAUUGGUUCUCUCCCUCAAAUGCACAUUAGAGAAACCCGCAUGGAUUUUGCCAUCAACAUGGACAUAUUGAAUCUGACUCACUCCAAGUCAACCCAGUUUCCGGUCUUUCAUGGAAUAUUCGGUCCAGGCGGUGCUCCGCCUCCCGAGGACCAAGAUGUCCGUCUUCAAGGAAAAUACCAGGUAUAUGCUUCGCAACCUGCGGGUUACACUUAGGGGCCCAACCCGGUUAAUUGACCGGUGCCUAUUCGCCAUGGAAGCCAUACCUCAAGGAUCCGGAUCAGCCGCUCCAACAUGGCGCUUUCUCGGGUCUUUGGCCUGGUAUGACCAAAUCAUGUGACCUUCGGAUGAAGCUCAUCUAAGACUUAUUUGAUGACUCCGGAGGAGGGACUCCUUUACGCCAACUGCAUGGAACUACCUGCAGGUUUGUUCAAAAUUCACAGUAUUGCUCGCUACCUUCCGGCAUGGACUUCUCACCGGUUGCCCACUACGGACUGCAGUCGGAUCUCACAUAGGAUCGCUAUCUAUAGCUUCUGGACAAGUAUUCGUCAUUUGUGACAGAAUGUAUGCGGGACGAGAC